rnacentral:pre_miRNA from 1 species
AUUUUAAUCACUUGGGGAGCUUGUUAAAAUGUAGAUUCUAAUUUUGUAGGUCUGGAGUAGAGCCUGAAAUUCUGCAUUUCUAACCAGCUCCCAGGUUAUGCUGAU